CCAGAAGUCUGUGGAAGAGACCAGAUGUGUUUGAGUUUUGAAAAGUGGACACAUGAGGCUGUCUUGGAAGAUUCCAGGAUUGCACCAUGAAGCGGUCACAUGCUUUGGAUCCAGCCACCUCUGAAAAACCCCACCUAUAAACUCCUGAGGCUUUGGCGAGGUGUGGGGUGAACAUCUAAACAGAAGACAUAACAGCACCCCUGCUCCCCAGAGCCUGUGGAAUUAGUCAAAGUAUCCAUUCCUAAAUUUGCUCCAAUAUGUCUACCUUGCCUUGCCUGUUGCUUCCUAAGGAAACCACAUUAAAGACGCUGGACCGCACUCUCCACAAAUUCCUUUCUCUCAGCUGAACCUGGUGCUUUGCCACAGAGCCCUGCGUGGUAUGCUGUGUCCUUCUUCUGGGAACUGUAAGUUGCACACUCUUCUUUCAAGUGUGAGAAUGACUCUCCCCUUGAACCUGGACAGACCCCUGUGACACCUUUGUGUAAGAGAAGAUGGAGCAAAAGGCAGCUUCCCUCCCUGCCUUCCCUCUCCUCUCCGUGGCCCCUGGGAGCCCUGGCUGCCAUGUGGGAAGCCUGACUGCCAUGAAGCUGACAGACUGGAAGGAUCACAAAAAAGAGACUAAGAAGAGACAGAGAUGCCUGAGGAGACCUAGUGGGUCCAGUUUAUUAGGCCCUGGAGACCAUGAAGAGAGACAAGCCAUUUCAGCUGUGUCUAUUGGAAUUUACAUGAGGACAGUAAAUGAAUGUUCAUGCCACUGCUUUGGGAUAAUUUGUUACACAGCCAUGGUAACUGAAACAGUGAGUCUGGUGGGGUCCCAGUUUUUUGUCUUGGGUGGCCUAGAGCAUCUCUACUUGGCAAGUGUUGGAAGCAGCAGGGCGCAUUUUCAAAUGCAGUCAGAUCCUGUGGUUUCAGGGUUUAGAAUUUAGUUUAGCUUCUAAUCAGGCUCAGACUACAACUCCCUGGAGCAUCUUCCAUCAUGGAAGGGUUUGUGAAAGCAAAUAAGAAUGGCCAGCAGAGUGAGGGGGAUGCUUUGGUCACCCAAGAACUCAACUGAUUUCCAGGAGACCCAGCCAAGUGUACAUCACUCUCUACACACAAAUGAUCAAUAUGUUUACCACCAAUCCUUGUGCGUUCACAGAAGUGGGCCCCUGAGGACCUAGUUAUGGAAAUUACAGUAAGGUUUGUUAGACUUAGAGCUUGGCUAACGUCAGUCACGUCACCUGUACAUAAAAAAAAAAAAAAGAAAAGAAAAAUUGAUGAGCAUUUCCCAAUGGUUAUUAAAAAUUCAACUUUUACUUUUGGAGAUUAGACCAGCUCCAGUACUGGCCUGGUGUGGGAAUCACUGCUAGUUCUUAUUGAGAGCUUUGAAUUUACCACACAGGCUCUGUGCAAGGUGCUGCCACCUGGAAUAUUUGCACUGAAUCUUUGAAGAAGAAGGCUCUGUAAUAAUUCUUGUUUUGCACAUGAAGAUCAUGCACCAGAGAGGACAAGUGACUUGUUCCUUGGGCACCCAGCAGCCUGAUUCCAGAAACUGACUGGCUGAUCAUGUCGACUCAGCUUCUACAAAGAAGCUUUGUUGAUCUUCCCAAACCAUCUGGUGGAGGGCAGCUGGUGUAGCAUCGGAGUUCAUGAGUUUCCCAGUUUGGAAGAUGCUCUAUGUAUUUGCAUGGGUGGGAGAUUGCCUUAAGCUGUGGGAGCUGUGGGCUCUGUGACCUUGGGCAAGUCAUCGUCUCUGGGGAAGCCUGGGCUUCAGGAUCCCUAAGUCUCCUUCCCAAUCUUGUCACGAACAGCAAAUAUCCCCUUAGGUUAUAGCUCCUGUUUGCAAAGCAUGCUACACAGAUGCCUUAAUUAAUUAUUCAGGCUGACAUCUCCAGCUCCCAAAUCAGAAGGUUGAGAAAAGAUCAUAGGAAUAUAAUCAAUGUGAACUUGACCAAUAAUCGCUGGUCCCAGGAUGGUGCAAAGAGAAGAAAACCCUCCAAAUUGGUCUUCUCUUACACUUUGGCUGGUUCUGCCAGCGGCCAAGAUAAAACCAUCCUCUUUAAUAAUUAAUGAGCAGGAGCCAGUGUCCCUGGCCUGGGCCCCACAGGAGGCCCCUAGAGGUGGCUGUGCUUCUGGAAGCGGGCAUGUGUGUGCACAUCCACCUGUGCCAGCCUGGUCGGGGGUGCACACACACGAGUCACAGCGGCUGACCCAGCAAAGUGCUGCGAGUGUGACCGGAAUGAAGGGUUGCUCCGUCUGUCUCUGAGGUGGCGUGGCAGAUCAAAUCACAGCGGAUCAGGCACCGAGAUGUUGCCUUGCUCUGAGUGACAGAAGUUAAUAAUUAGUGACAAUGAUUGACAGAUACACUCCAUCUGCUGCUCUGACGCCUAGGAGCAGUUAUUCCACAACUGUCUGCGGGCACAAUGAACUCCCCCGGGAGCGCAGGCUGGCCUGUGAUUGACAGCUGCCUCCUAGAGAGACAGACCACUGAUGGGAAAGUUGCUGUCAGCAGAAGCACUCCGGUCCUCCCGUGUUCCUGAGGAAGCUCACUUGCUGUAUACAUUUAUUCUGUUUCAUUUAUCAUGUCAGCCGUGGUUUUAAAUAGAUUACUAGCUAGCCCGUUUUUAAACUGGAGAGUUUUCUACCUGUAAAUUAGAAAUAUCCACGUAUGUCGCAGUCUACUUCCUGGGACUCAAGUCUUCCUGUUUGUUCUCGGGGUAAAUCCAGGAGAGGAAGGUAGGAGCUCGCCUGGGUUGCAGACACAACUGAUCUUUCCAUUAAAAUCAAAAUGGAAUCUUUAACUGAAACCUUGCAAAAUGGUACUGAGCAUUAGUUGGCAAACUUGGUCUCAAAAGUCCAAACUAAACUAUGAAAGCUAUUUUUCCCCCCUAAGAAAUAAAGAUGUUGCUGAGCUUAUCUUUAGAUGAUGUAACUUGUAAUAGUUGUUCUUUCAGUGAUGUUUUUGCAUUUUUAGACAAUGAGAAUGCCUUGACAGUUUGGAAUCUAGCUUUCUCAGGAUAAGCUGUUGAUUAUUUCGUGGUUGCAUGGUCAAAAUCUGGUAUUAACUAGCUGAGUGAUCUUAAGAGUGGAUUACAGUUCCACUGAUACCAAAGUGCUUGUCCCCGUUUCUCCUCCCUUUAUUUUUGUGCUAAAUUAAAGCUUAGCUUUAAACCAGCCCACAUGUAACUGGGGGACUCGGACUUCUUUUAGUUCCUUUAUAAAUAGGAAAGUAGACAUAUACAGUAUGUAUUUCCACUAGACGAACUAUCAUCACCUAAUUGUUCCUGCUUAUAGUUUGUUUGGUUUUCUGGAAAAAAUGCAAUUUAAUUUCACUUCAUCUAGGCUCCCACAGAUGUGCUUUUGGGUCAUAACUUCUCUCUCUGUCUGUCCCCCUGUAGUCUCAGCAUAAUGUAAAGGACUGCCCAUCGCGUUAUGAGUAAAAGCCUACUUAUAUCCCGCUAUUUAAAAUACAGUGAACCCUGUUGAUAUUGAUCUCAUAUGGGAUGUUUUCCCGCAUAUGAUGUCCAGCUCUUAAAGUAUGGGUCAUGUUUCCUCUUAAGAUGUUUUCUUAUCUUAUUCCCCUAAAAUGAUAUAAACAGUUUCAGUAUUCUUGAUAAUUAGGUAUGCGGGUAAAGAAAAGACAUCCUGUUCUUUUUCAAGUUUUUAAAUGAUCAGGAUACCAGAAAAUGAAGUCAUAGUGAGUACAAAUGUUGCCUCUCAUCCAGGGAUCUGCUUUCCUUCUUGAUUCUAUAAAAAGGAAAUUUAUCAGGAUACAAGAUGUUAGAGGCGCCUUAGCCCCUGCCUUGACUGAGUGGGCCACCCUCAGAGCUGCCCUGGAACAACCCACUUGUCUGGCCUCAAGUUAAAUG